GGGUCUCUACAAAGCUAGUGUCCCCUUUUCUCCUACUGGCCCCUAGGGUUCGCUCUAAUGCGACUAGAGGCUGAGCCCGUCCCAUUUCCCGGAUCAGCCCCAGAGGAAACAGACUUGCUUGGCUUUGUGUUCCCGCCGCCCUUUCGUGCGUGGCUCUGGGGCGGUAAGAAGAAACCUCUGAAGCAACCGAAGAAACAGGCAAAGGACAUGGACGAGGAAGAUUUGGCCUUCAAGCAAAAACAGAAGGCAGAGCAGAAGAAACUUGAGGAGCUGAAGACCAAAGCUUCUGGGAAAGGCCCCCUUACACAUAUGCAACAUGCCUCAGGUGGCACAUGACCAGGAUUCAUCACCGAAUUUGGUCUGCUGGUUGGAUUGUUAGCUUCCUUGGUCCCAGCCAGCUGGUGGUGGCAUCAAGAAGUCUGGCAAAAAGUAGUUACAUGCGGUAGAAGAAGCAGUCUGCUCCCAUUGGUUGCUUGUCUAUGCAAUGGAUCUGUAGAUUCAUGUAGUCAAGAAAAUUCACUGUCAUUUGAGCACCUUGUACAUUUUGCUCAGUCAAAAUAAAUUGUUUUGUUAA